AUGAAUAUAAGUUUGACCCAAUUCAUGUUAUUUUACUCUAAAGUGUUAUAAUUCUUCAGCCCAUCAUCCAAAUAAAAUUUCAUCUCAACUAUUAGAUCCCAAUAAUUCAUCUCAGCCAUUGGUUUGCUUUAAGUUAAAGAGAUAAGAUCAUAAAAAUGAACACUAUGUCUAAGUCGUCUUAUCACCUGUGUGAUAAGUCCUCUUCAGCUCCACCGCAUAAUCCGCCGGCAGCGGCAGCGCUCUACAUGCCACACAUCUCUCUAUCUCUCUUAAACGGAUCUGAAGGUGGAGCAAUGGAACAUAUAUAUGUGGAUCAAAUUGCUAAAAACUUGUAAGGGAUGAAAUUGAGCAGUGCCAAACCCGGUCCAAGCUCGGCUAAGCCAAUCUCUUAAGACUCUUAUAGAGUUUGUGGUUGAAGAAUUCAAAGAUGAAACAAUUAUCAUACUUUUGGUGGUAUGCGCAGCAUGGGCUCAAAGAAAAGAAGGAUGGUAUGACGGAGGAAGCGUCAUUCAUAGUAUUUGAGAAUACCACAUUCAAUAGCUAUCUAUGGCUUUUGUGUAAUUUCCGAUGUAAUUAAUAACAUUCAGAAAUUACUUACAAGUAGAGAGAAGCUAUUGAGUGUGGUAUUAUCAAACAUAAUGAAGAUUCAAAUGAUGCAGUAGUAGCAUGUUGAAGGUCUAAUCCAUCCGUAUAAUUCCUCUUUGGUGACAGUUCUGCGGUCGGGCAGGUGUGUGUCACUAACUUCGUCAUCCAUCAGCCGGUAGAUAGUGGAUUAAAAUCGACGGCAACAGGAAAUAUGUCCCAUCCGGGAUACUGAGUGGACGAAAAUUCCGAUUUUGAAGCGACUGAAGGUAGAUGAACUGAAGAAGCCUUCGAUUCUGAGGAAUUUGUUUCCAAUCUUGAAGCCGUAUCAAACCCAUAAGGUAUUAUUUGUAUCAAAAUUUGUCUUGUGAAUGGUGUAAGGGUUUCGUUUAGAGAGAGAAAGUAAGCUUCAAUCUA